CAUGCAAGUCGAACGGUGCAGCAAUGCACAGUGGCGCAAGGGUGAGGAACGCGUGAGUAACCUGCCCUUAAGUUGGGAAUAGCUCCUGGAAACGGGAAUUAAUACCGAAUGUGAUCGUCGGGAGACAUCUCUUGAUGAUUAAAGGCCGCAAGGUCGCUUAAGGAGGGGCUCGCGUCCCAUUAGCUAGUUGGUGAGGUAACGGCCCACCAAGGCGAAGAUGGGUAGCUGGUCUGAGAGGACGAUCAGCCACACUGGGACUGAGAUACUGCCCAGACUCCUACGGGAGGCUGCAGUCGAGAAUUUUGGGCAAUGGGGGCAACCCUGACCCAGCAAUGCCGCGUGCGGGAUGAAGGUCUUCGGAUUGUAAACCGCUGUCAAGAGGGACGAAUGCAAUUGACGGUACCUCUGGAGGAAGUCACGGCUAACUACGUGCCAGCAGCCGCGGUAAUACGUAGGUGACAAGCGUUGUUCGGAUUCAUUGGGCGUAAAGGGUCCGCAGGUGGUUUGAUAAGUCUGACGUGAAAUACCGGAGCUCAACUCCGGAACUGCGUUGGAGACUGUUGAACUGGAGUAUCGGAGAGGAAAUUGGAAUUCCAGGUGUAGCGGUGGAAUGCGUAGAUAUCUGGAAGAACAUCGACAGCGAAGGCAGAUUUCUGGACGAUAACAGACACUCAGGGACGAAAGCAUGGGGAGCAAACAGGAUUAGAUACCCUGGUAGUCCAUGCCCUAAACGUUGUAAACUUGAUAUGGGGAGAUUUACUCCUUUCCGUGUCGAAGCUAACGCGAUAAGUUUACCGCCUGGGAACUACGGCCGCAAGGCUACAACUCAAAGGAAUUGAAGGA
rnacentral:rRNA from 1 species